rnacentral:rRNA from 1 species
UACGGGGGGGGGCAAGCGUUGUUCGGAAUUACUGGGCGUAAAGGGCGUCGUAGGCGGCCAACUAAGUCAUACGUGAAAUCCCCCGGCUUAACCGGGGGAACUGCGUCUGAUACUGGAUGGCUUGAGUUCGGGAGAGGGAUGCGGAAUUCCAGGUGUAGCGGUGAAAUGCGUAGAUAUCUGGAGGAACACCGGUGGCGAAGGCGGCAUCCUGGACCGAUACUGACGCUGAGGAGCGAAAGCCAGGGGAGCAAACGGG